rnacentral:misc_RNA from 1 species
GGUUUCCAAGUUAAAUGCAGAUACAAUUUCAAAAAUGAGUAUGGCGCCUGUGAUGACCUCUAUGGCUAUUUCGGUGGUCCAUAUGGUUUAAGAAAUCACUUAAUCAUGCGUCAUCAUACGUUUAUUGGGUAUGAUCCAUGUGUGCACGUUUUGAAAGAUGAUUGGUUCAAUAAAUACAGUGAGGUUGUACUUGAAUUCUACCUAGAAGAUAUUAAUGACCAUCCUGUACCAGUCAAUGUGGUACAAUGUGGGGUACGGAUGUUAUAUGCACAAGAGGAGAGUUUCUGUCGAUGUCGUUCCAUUACUCAGGAUAGAAUAUACAGGUUUGGCUCUCGAAAUCGUUUAUGGCGGUGUUUCGAUUUGGAUUGAUCAGGAUGAUUCUGACGCUUUUAUCUCUGAAAUAAUUAGCGAAGAAAUUCUACGCUAUGAAGGCGAUGAAUGCUGAGCAUGAGAAAUGCUGACACAGCAGCUUUUGAGAGAGGGAGAUUCUAGAGUGACCAAGUGAAUUCUCUGUAGGUAACCACUUCCUAUUUUGUGAUAAAUAAAAUAAAGUGAAAACAAACUAUAUUAUGAAUUGGAAUCAAAUUACUUCUCCAUGGACGUUACGUAUUGGUUUACUGGAUGUCUCUGUAUUCUAGCGUUUUGCAGAUUAAUUCAAAUUUUGUAAAUAAUUAUAAUAAGUGGGUAAUAACAUCAAUUGCAGCUAUGUAGUUGAUUUCAAAGAAAUGGUUA